GUUAGGAAUAUUGGACAAUGGGCGCAAGCCUGAUCCAGCCAUGCCGCGUGAGUGAUGAAGGCCUUCGGGUUGUAAAGCUCUUUAGCCGAUGAUUAUAAUGACUGUAGUCGGAAAAUAAGCCCCGGCUAACUUCGUGCCAGCAGCCGCGGUAAUACGAAGGGGGCGAGCGUUAUUCGGAAUCACUGGGCGUAAAGCGUGCGUAGGCGGCUUUGCAAGUUGGGAGUGAAAGCACAGGGCUCAACCCUGGAAUUGCUCUCAAAACUGCAAGGCUCGAAUUCGGGAGAGGAUAGCGGAAUUGGCAGUGUAGCAGUGAAAUGCGUAGAUAUUGACAGGAACACCAGUGGCGUAAGCGGCUAUCUGGACCGAUAUUGACGCUGAGGCACGAAAGCGUGGGGAUCAAACAGGAUUAGAAACCCCAGUAGUCC
rnacentral:rRNA from 1 species